CAGAGCCAAGGUGGGGAGACUGGACCGUUCAGUCCAUGUUAUAGUAGUAUAUCAAGGGAGUCCAAGGUGAGGAGACUGGACCAUUCAGUCCAUGUUAUAGUAGUAUAUCAAGGGAGUCCAGAGCCAAGGUGGGGAGACUGGACCGUUCAGUCCAUGUUAUAGUAGUAUAUCAAGGGAGUCCAGAGCCAAGGUGAGGAGACGGGACCGUUCAGUCCAUGUUAUAGUAGUAUAUCAAGGGAGUCGAGAGCCAAGGUGAGGAGACUGGACCAUUCAGUCCAUGUUAUAGUAGUAUAUCAAGGGAGUCCAGAGCCAAGGUGGGGAGACUGGACCGUUCAGUCCAUGUUAUAGUAGUAUAUCAAGGGAGUCCAGAGCCAAGGUGAGGAGACGGGACCGUUCAGUCCAUGUUAUAGUAUUAUAUCAAGGGAGUCCAGAGCCAAGGUGAGGAGACUGGACCAUUCAGUCCAUGUUAUAGUAGUAUAUCAAGGGAGUCCAGAGCCAAGGUGGGGAGACUGGACCGUUCAGUCCAUGUUAUAGUAGUAUAUCAAGGGAGUCCAGAGCCAAGGUGGGGAGACUGGACCGUUCAGUCCAUGUUAUAGUAGUAUAUCAAGGGAGUCCAGAGCCAAGGUGAGGAGACUGGACCGUUCAGUCCAUGUUAUAGUAGUAUAUCAAGGGAGUCCAGAGCCAAGGUGGGGAGACUGGACCAUUCAGUCCAUGUUAUAGUAGUAUAUCAAGGGAGUCCAGAGCCAAGGUGGGGAGACUGGACCGUUCAGUCCAUGUUAUAGUAGUAUAUCAAGGGAGUCCAGAGCCAAGGUGGGGAGACUGGACCGUUCAGUCCAUGUUAUAGUAGUAUAUCAAGGGAGUCCAGAGCCAAGGUGAGGAGACUGGACCGUUCAGUCCAUGUUAUAGUAGUAUAUCAAGGGAGUCCAGAGCCAAGGUGAGGAGACUGGACCGUUCAGUCCAUGUUAUAGUAGUAUAUCAAGGGAGUCGAGAGCCAAGGUGAGGAGACGGGACCGUUCAGUCCAUGUUAUAGUAUUAUAUCAAGGGAGUCCAGAGCCAAGGUGAGGAGACUGGACCAUUCAGUCCAUGUUAUAGUAUUAUAUCAAGGGAGUCCAGAGCCGAGGUGAGGAGACUGGACCGUUCAGUCCAUGUUAUAGUAGUAUAUCAAGGGAGUCCAGAGCCAAGGUGAGGAGACUGGACCGUUCAGUCCAUGUUAUAGUAGUAUAUCAAGGGAGUCCAGAGCCGAGGUGAGGAGAUGGGACCGUUCAGUCCAUGUUAUAGUAGUAUAUCAAGGGAGUCCAGAGCCAAGGUGAGGAGACUGGACCGUUCAGUCCAU